rnacentral:lncRNA from 1 species
AUAAAUUGAAAGGUGGUAUACUUAAAUGUAAUAAACACAAACCUUAAACAUGAGUGGUUAUAAGGUUUGGUAUAUGGGAUGUAUAUGUAAAAAUCCCAAUUUAAAAAUGGUCCCAAAGAGCCCAAUCACACGUCUCAGGAUGAAACUUCCACAAAAUCUCAAAACUGGCCGAAGUCCAAAGCCAGCCGGCCGCGCAGGAAAAAUGAGGGAUCAAAUCUCAGGAGCUGCUACAAUUCUUACCGCAACAAAUCACGUUGUAGCCACAACGAGACACAAAUGACAAAGCUCACCCUUAUUUUAACUGAUGAACAUGAAUUCCAGACUUUCAAAAUCAGUUUAUUAUACUAAUCUGCUAUCAUGAACUAACGAUCAUAAUGAGUUGAUUCAACGUAGAUGAACCUUGGUUCCUUAACCUUUAACUGAUUUCAACGUUAAUUUACUAACAACAAAUCAAGUUUACACCAAUUGAACUCAAUUCCUUUAUUCAAACACAAAUUUUCAUUACACUAGUAUGACUAAUGACAAAGUUAUUAGUAAUUAGGAUGAAUGAGAUCCAACCAGUUCAUGAAUUGAAAUUUUACUACAAGGUCACUACCUUUCAACGUGAUACUUAUCCAGAUUCGAACAUGCUGAUGAUUAUUGAACUCAUGUAAGGCAAUGAACCUUCAAAUCACUUCAAGCCUCUAAUUAGACGAACUAUUGAACUAACUACAUUUCAACAUUUGAGGAUUCAAUUCACCAGUUUAAAUAAAAUUAUCAACUCCAGAGAAACAGUCCUAAUUAUAGUCCAAAUUUUAACUACACUGAAUAACCAGCAAAAUCAUAUAAAAUAGAACUACUUAAAUGCAAUAAGGCUAUUCAACAGUAGAUCUAUAGCAGAAAGCUUCAAUUUCAAUUUCAUUUCAACUGAAAUUCUACAUGAUGCAGAGGUUCAGAACAUGUACCUGUAGAUUGAAGUGAAGUAAGAAGAAGAAGAAGAGGAGGUCAGCAAUAACAAUUGUAACAGCCAGUGAUAACCAAGAGUCACAGACAGCAACAAUCAGGAACAAUUUUGGACCAAAAUCACUUCAAAACCCAGGGAUUCAACACAUAACACAACACAAAACCUAAUACCCUAUAUCUAACCCAAAAAGCUUGAAAUCAAAACAGUAACACUCCAGAAACUUCAGCAACCAAACCACAACAGAGUGAGAAUCAAUGGAACAGUAGCAUUCUUGAUUUUUUUUGAGUUUUCUUUUUGUUUGUCUCUUUGCUUUGUUUUUUUUAAAAUUUUAAUCCUUUUUCAGAUCUGGAAAUAAAACUAAUGAGGGGAAAUUUUAGGUUCAAAAGAAGACCCCCCACCCAAUGUACUAAUUGUGCCCUUAUAUAGGCAAGUGAAGGAAGGCUAAAGUUUUAUAUUUACAGCAAAGCCCCCCCCCCCCCCAUUUAAUUCUGUGUAAAACCUUUCUCAUGUUUACUUGUGUCUCAAGUCACUACUUUCUAAAUUUGAAAAUGACAUUAAGGUACUAUUCUAGAGUGUUCUAACAAGAAUUAAUCAACUAAACUACACACACAUAUACCAAUUGUAAACACCUAAAUUGAAACUGUUAACUGUUUACACCUAACGAAGACAGCGACCAUUAACCAAAACAACUACAUUAUCUUACUCAAACUUAACCAAAACAAUCAGAAUCAAAGUCGAAAUCACAAACUUAAACUAGCAAUAUCAAAAUCGAAACUGGCCCAAGUUUAUACCAAAUUGAAAAGUGAAAAAAUUACUGAAACAAAUAAGCACAAAAUAAUGAAUAAGCUAAUCCUAAGCUCAAACUGAACUUAGCCAAGAUGACAUAAACUUUAGCAAACGAUUGUUACAGCCUAAGGAAAUUGAUCAAACACGAUACAAAGACGACAGUCAAAACUAAACCGAUAUUAAUUAACACAGCUAGUUUAAACUAAAGAAGUAGUGAAAACUUAAUGACUCACCGGCCACUUUCAAACUCAAAAUUCGACAUAUUCCCAUGAGAUUUUAGCGCCAAUAAUGUUGAAUUCUUCAUAAGGAAAGCCCAAAGAACAUCUGAGAUCAAUUUGAGGCGAGUUGGGGCAACUAGGGUUCUGACCGGAAAAUUUCAAUUUGAUAUUCGAACGAUUCCAGGUAGAUUCGAGAGAUACGGCUAUGGGAUUUUGGUAGAGGAAGCUUGGGCGAUUCCAGGGUGUUAUUUGGAGGUCGUUUGGCGUAACCGGCAUCAUGGCCGGAAAACCUUCAACGAGAUAUUCGACUAGACAGGGAAGGAUUUGAAGGCAAUGGGUAAUAGAUUCAUGAUGGGGAAGAUGAAGGAAGCUAUGGUAUUAAUUUCUGGUUGAUUGGCGUGACCGGCAUUCGCCGGCGGUGGCUCCGUCGGUGGUCUUACAGGAUCUGAUACGAGGAAGAUGAAGAGUAUA